rnacentral:tRNA from 1 species
GGCUUUGAGCCGAAUUAUCCCCUACGGUGCCCACUGCUGCGGACGGCAAAAAACGGGGUUUUAGGGAUUGAAAAUCCCCGUGUCGGCGGUUCGAUUCCGUCCCGAGCCACCA